GACGAACGCUGGCGGCGUGCUUAACACAUGCAGGUCGAACGGAAAGGCCUCUUUCGGGGGGUACUCGAGUGGCGAACGGGUGAGUAACACGUGAGUAACCUGCCCUUGACUUUGGGAUAACUUCAGGAAACUGGGGCUAAUACCGGAUAGGAGCUCCUGCUGCAUGGUGGGGGUUGGAAAGUUUCGGCGGUUGGGGAUGGACUCGCGGCUUAUCAGCUUGUUGGUGGGGUAGUGGCUUACCAAGGCUUUGACGGGUAGCCGGCCUGAGAGGGUGACCGGCCACAGUGGGACUGAGAUACGGCCCAGACUCCUACGGGAGGCAGCAGUGGGGAAUAUUGCACAAUGGGUGGAAGCCUGAUGCAGCAACGCCGUGUGCGGGAUGACGGCCUUCGGGUUGGAAACCGCUUUCGCUCAUGACGAAGCUUUGUGUGACGGUAGUGGGUAAAGAAGCACCGGCUAACUACGUG
rnacentral:rRNA from 1 species